GGUCUGUAGCUCAGUGGCAGAGCACUCACCUAGCAUGCAUGAGGCACUGGGUUUGAUCCUCAGCACCA
rnacentral:tRNA from 1 species